rnacentral:tRNA from 1 species
AAAGAUUUAGUUAAAUUUCAUAACAUUAAUUUGUCAAAUUAAAAUAAUUAAUUCCUCUAAUAAUCUUUA